GCUCGACAAGCUGAAUCCUUAGAGACCCAACCUGGGAUUCUCUCUGUUUUGCCUGAGCUGAUAUACCAACUCCACACUACUCGGACACCUCUUUUUUUGGGACUUGAUAGAAGUGUUAAUAUCUUUCCUGAGUCCGAUGCUAUGAGUGAUGUCAUUGUCGGAGUACUCGAUACAGGGGUUUGGCCGGAGAGAAAGAGCUUUGACGAUACUGGAUUUGGACCU
rnacentral:misc_RNA from 1 species